GAUGAACGCUGGCGGUAUGCUUAACACAUGCAAGUCGAACGGACUCUUCGGAGUUAGUGGCGGACGGGUGAGUAACGCGUGAGAAUCUGGCUUUGGGUUCGGGACAACCACUGGAAACGGUGGCUAAUACCGGAUGUGCCGAGAGGUAAAAGAGAAAUUGCCUGAAGAUGAGCUCGCGUCUGAUUAGCUAGUUGGUGAGGUAAAGGCUCACCAAGGCAGCGAUCAGUAGCUGGUCUGAGAGGAUGACCAGCCACACUGGGACUGAGACACGGCCCAGACUCCUACGGGAGGCAGCAGUGGGGAAUUUUCCGCAGUGGGCGAAAGCCUGACGGAGCAAUACCGCGUGAGGGAAGAAGGCUCUUGGGUUGUAAACCUCUUUUCUUAGGGAAGAACAAAAUGACGGUACCUAAGGAAUCAGCAUCGGCUAACUCCGUG
rnacentral:rRNA from 1 species